CGGGUCCUACGGGGGGCAGCAGUGAGGAAUAUUGGUCAAUGGUCGGGAGACUGAACCAGCCAAGCCGCGUGAGGGAGGAAGGUACAGAGUAUCGUAAACCUCUUUUGUCAGGGAACAAAGACUGGGACGCGUCCCCGGAUGAGUGUACCUGAAGAAAAAGCAUCGGCUAACUCCGUGCCAGCAGCCGCGGUAAUACGGAGGAUGCGAGCGUUAUCCGGAUUUAUUGGGUUUAAAGGGUGCGCAGGCGGUCUGUUAAGUCAGCGGUCAAAGCCCGGGGCUCAACCCCGGCCCGCCGUCGAAACUGG
rnacentral:rRNA from 1 species